GAUGAGUACAGCGGCGAACGGGUGAGUAACACGUGGGUAACCUGCCCUUCAGUCAGGAAUAACCCCGCGAAAGCGGGGCUAAUACCAGAUAAUGUUUCCCGGGGGCAUCCUCGGGAAACCAAAGGGGGCGAGCGCAAGCGGCUCUCGCUGAAGGAUGGGCCUGCGGCUGAUUAGCUAGUUGGUGGGUGUAACGGCCUACCAAGGCGACGAUCAGUAGCCGACCUGAGAGGGUGACCGGCCACACUGGGACUGAGACACGGCCCAGACUCCUACGGGAGGCAGCAGUGGGGAAUAUUGCGCAAUGGGCGAAAGCCUGACGCAGACGACGCCGCGUGGGUGAUGAAGGCCUUCGGGUCGUAAAAACCCUGUCGGGUGGAACGAAUCUCCGCCUUAUCAAUACCAAGGCGGAAUGACGGUACCACCGAAGGAAGCCCCGGCUAACUACGUGCCAGCAGCCGCGGUAAUACGUAGGGG
rnacentral:rRNA from 1 species